UGAAAUUCAGAAUUUUAGCUAUUCUUUUAUUUGUCAUCAAGACGAAUGAAUAGAAAUUUCGAAUGAACGAAAACUAGUAUAUUACAAGGAGGGAGCUACUGGCUUGUGACUCCCUCCCUGUAAUAUGUAAAAUCAAAGCAGAAGGGAGCUGUGCUCCCCCAUUCCUUCCCCCCAUGCACCCUCAUGAGGGUCAUUAUGGAGGUGGGGGGAAGACUACUGUCAUCCCCCCUGGCUACCACCCUUGAGUGGAGGGCCCUAAUUAACAAAUUGAUUCUGUUGGAAUUUCAGUGAAUGUUUUGAAAAACUCAUGUCAAUUCUUAAUACUGACGUGAUACUUAGGACCCCAAGGCCUAUCCCACAUUCACACAUCUAAAAGAGAGGAGUGCAGGUGCAACUUUGCAGGCUUAGCUUUGCAAGUUUACAGACUCUUUAAUAAGAAUAAGGUGGUGAUCAGGGCUGGUUUUACAUAUAAGAUGCCUGUAGGAACAAUAUUUGUGUGUUGUGCACCAGGGAUCUCCUCCCUCUUCCGACAUCAGCGCUGAAUGCUCAUGCGUGGCAAGAGCCGCGAGCAUUCAGUCAGUCCAAAUUGAUCUUGGAAGGUUGCAAACUUACAUUUUAC